rnacentral:tRNA from 1 species
ACCGCGAUAGCUCAGCUGGCAGAGCAUCUGCCUGGUACGCUGAGUGUCUUCUGUUCGAUUCCGGCUCGCGGAG